UACGGAGGAUGCAAGCGUUAUCCGGAUUUAUUGGGCGUAAAGCGUCCGCAGGUGGCUAUUCAAGUCUGCUGUCAAAGCUCGGAGCUUAACUCCGAAUCGGCGGUGGAAACUGAACAGCUAGAGUGCAGUAGGGGUAGAGGGAAUUCCCAGUGUAGCGGUGAAAUGCGUAGAGAUUGGGAAGAACACCGGUGGCGAAAGCGCUCUACUGGACUGCAACUGACACUUAGGGACGAAAGCUAGGGGAGCGAAUGGG
rnacentral:rRNA from 1 species